rnacentral:ncRNA from 1 species
AACAAAGCUUGGUUCUGGCUUUUAUGUUAAUUACCCCUUAGAAAAAUACAUGACACCAAAAGGGCUCAGUGAGAUAAAAAGAAAAAGUUUAAAACAAUAUCUUGGUAAAAAUAUUAUUAAUCAAAAAAAAAUAUUUAGAAUACUCCACUUCCAUCAGUAUUGAAGAUUAAAAAUUAAGGAAACUUAGAUUUAGUUAUAGGGAAAAGAGUUGGUUAAUUAUAGUGCCAGCCACCGCGGUUAAACUAUUAACUCAAAUUAACAGAUAACAGCAAAAAAGAUGGUUAAAUAUAACAUAAAUAGAACAAAAAUUCAAUUCCAAUAAGGUAUAAUUUAAGUAAAAGAAAAAUCUAACUUGUUCUAUCUAAUUGAAGCCAUAAAAUCUAUCGCAAAAACUAGGAUUAGAUACCCUACUAUUGAAAGAAAUAAAUAUUGAAAAUUCUGCUUGGGCACUACGAACACAUGUUUAAAACCUAAAGAACUUGGCGGUACUUUAAUCCUCCUAGGGGAACCUGUCCUUUAAUUCGAUAAUCCACGUUAACCUUAUCUAUUUUAGAAUUAAGCAGCUUGUAUACCGUCGUCAAAAGCUAACCUUUAAAAGAAAAAAAGUUAACAAAAAAGAGAAAAUAAACCUCAACACUCUCCAAAGUCAGAUCAAGGUGCAGCCAAUAAAUAGAGAAGAGAUGGGUUACAAUUAAGAAAUCACACUGGAAUCUUAAAUAAAAAAAUUAAGAAGAAAUAGGACUUAGAAGUAAUUUUUAUAAUUAAAUAAUAAUGAACACGGCAAUAAAGUGUGCACAUAUCGCCCGUCGCUCUCGUUGAAAAAUGAGAUAAGUCGUAACACAGUAGGGGUAACGGAAGCUGCCCCUAACUAAA